CCAACUGGCCUCAAUCGCCCGUCGCGGUUGGGAGGGCGCUCUGGACGCGUUGGCGCCAGCGGGCUGCUGCGGGCAGCACUGGGAUUGUUAGGGCCAGUCUGCUCUGUGUGGGCGGGGCCGUACACCCGCGGCCCCCUCUCCAGGCGGGACGAGUCUGUGCCAACGGGUUACUUUGAGAAGUGGCGGUUCUAGGUUCUGGUGUGAGACUCCUUAUGUGGGCAGUGUAUUUGGAUGGCUCAGAAAUGGGCGCCGCUCCACUUAACCCCGAGUUCUCUGUCUGGAAAGGUGAAGACACUUGAACUGAAGUUCGGUUAUGUGAAUUUUAAAUUUGCUGAUGACCAGGGAAGAUCCUUGAGACUUAGUGAGACAAACAUCCUUGGGUAUGAAAUUAAAUUGAGAAAACUGAAAAGAAAGGAUGCAAGAAAGGACUCAUUCCCAGGCCACCUGCAGCCCAUCCAUAGAAUCUCAGUUUAAGGAUCACUUCCCCAGGAUCAGAAAAAGUUUCCCUUACUUCCAGACUAGGAUCAGAAUGUCAAAACACUUUUCAAGAACCUGCCUGACAAAGUCACUCAACAUGAGUUAAAAGACGUGUUUAAGGAUGGCUUUCAAGUCAGCUUGUUUGAAUCCUGCAUGUGUGUCACUAAUUCAGAAGAUGAAAGGACUAAAUAUUGACUCUUCGUUCAUCUCUCCCCCACACCAUCUCCACAACUGCAGGAUUGCAUAUGUUGAUUUCAAGUCACAGGCUGAUGCAGAAAGAGCGUUGGACUAGAAACAAGGAGCAGAGUAGUGGGAAAACAAAAGCUAGAACAAGAAAGUCACGCGUUUCAAGAAAAAUAGGAGCGAGCUUAUUUCUUUGUGGAGAUCAAGAACGUUCCUACGUGUUUAAUAAGCAAAGUGUGCCUGUGUCGAUGGAAUUGAACCUCAGAUGCCAUUAUGAAACAAUCCACAGUAGGAACCAUGAUGGAUACACUCCAAAGAUGCGUGAUAGGGGCGCCUGGGUGGCUCAGUGAGUUAAAGCCUCUGCCUUCGGCUCAGGUCAUGGUCCCAGGGUCCUGGGAUCAAGCCCCGCAUCAGGCUCUCUGCUCAGCGGGGAGCCUGCUUCCUCCUCUCUCUCUGCCUGCCUCUCUGCCUACAUGUGAUCUCUGUCUGUCAAAUUAAAAAAAAAAAAAAAAAAAAAGAUGUGUGAUUAAAAAACUUGAACUGAAAAAAAGACUGAAAUUUCAACACGACUUACUUUGAAAGUUAAUAAAAUAAACGCCCCCGCUAGGAAAUGCAGUUAUGUGUUAAGUAAGAAAAUUGCCUGGGCAUCGAAACCUUUUACAGAUGGUCUAAGUUGUUUUUUUUUUUUUAAGAUUUUUUUUUUUAAAUUUGACAGAGAUCACAAGUUGGCAGAGGGGGGUGGGGUGGGAAGUAGGCUCCCUGCUGAACAGAGAGCCUGAUGCAGGGCUCGAUCCCAGGACCCUGACAUCAUGACCUGAGUCAAAGGCAGAGGCUUAACCCACUGAGCCACCCAGGCGCCCCCAGAUGGUAAGUUUAUAAAGGAAUGUCUGUUGAGUGCAGCAGAACAGAGACAAGCAUUUGCCAGUCUAAGACGAAGUGGUAAUACUGUUAAGCAGCAUGUUGACAGGCUCAUGAAAGGGCCAAUGGAAAUAAUGCCCCCCCAGCUGGCUAUAUUUAUUUGUGCUGUUGAUGACGCUUUCGAUGGGACGGGAGAACUUUUGGACAUGGAUCCCAUGACAGGGACCAUGUCAGGAAAUGACUGACUUGUCUAUAUUGAGGAAAGUCUUACAAAAUUUAAUGUAGCCUGGUCACAGUUAGUAAGCAUUGGCACAGAUGUCAAUUUGGCAUCAGUCGGUGUUGAGCAACUUGUUAUGAAACUUAAAGCUAAAGUGUCCAGGCUUUGCAAAGACACAGAACUGAAGUCCAUGCAUGGCCUCAUUCUCCCCCAGUCGCUUUGUGCUAAAAAGUUAAAAAUGGAUCACGUCAUGGACAUAGUGAUUCACACCAUAACCUAGAUCCAUUCCCAUGGCUCAGACCACGGAAAGUUCAGUGCUUUGUUCAAUGACUUAUAUGCACAGUAUGGAAACCUGUCGUUCUCCAUGGGACAUAAGUGGCUGAGUCAUGGCAUGGUGCUCAGGUGGUUUUUCGAACUGUUGGAAGAAAUUGAUUUUUUCAUGUCUUCUGAAGGAGUCUUGGUUCCUCAGCUCACCAGCAAAGACUGGGUCAAAGGCUUAGUCUUUUUGGUUGACAUUAUGACUUACCUAAACAUGUUGGAGAUUUCCUGCUAAGGCACUCACAAGUUGUUACACAGAUGUACGAUUCAGUUCGCUCCUUCCUGAUGAAACUGUGUUUUUGGGAAGCUCAUUUAGCAAGGAACAAGCUGGCCCACUUCCCUACACUGAAAUUAGUUUCUGAAAAUGAAAAAGAUGGCCUGAACUGUAUUUACCAAAUUAGGGAGUUGAGACUGGAUUCCAGGAACGGUUCUCUGAUUUCAAACUUUAUGAAAACCAGCUGACAUCGUACAGCUCACCUUUCUCAAUCAACAUUAAUAACAUGAAAGAAGAGCUGCAAAUGGAAGUUCUUUUUUUUUUUUUUUUAAAGAUUUUAUUUAUUUAUUUGACACAGAGAGAUACAGUGAGAGAGGGAACACAAGCAAGGGGAGUGGGAGAGGGAGAAGCAGGCUCCCUGCAGGGAGCCCGAGGCAGGGCUUGAUGUGGAGCUUGAUUCGGGGCUCGAUCUCAGGACCCAGGGAUCAUGACCCAAGCCGAAGGCCAACACUUAACUACUGAGCCACCCACAGGCCCCCAAUGGAAAUUCUUGAAUUGUAGGGCAAAACACGACUGAGGACGAAAUAUGAUGGUGUUGGGAUCCCAGAAUUCUACACUUAUCUUGGGAACGGUUACCCUAAAUAUAAAAACCACUAUGCAAAGAUUCUGUCCAUGUUCAGAAGUACCUAUGUUUGUUAUCAGCUCUUUUCUGUCAUGAAACAGCAUAAAACUAAAACUAAAUAUUGCUCCUGGUUAAAGGACUCGGAGGUGAAUUCCCUGCUACAUGUCACUGUGCAAGAUUCCCAGCCUGACCUUGUUUGACACCUUGCUUGGGGCUUAAGAAGGGAAUAUCAGGUGUCAUGUUUCAAAUCUAAGGACAAAAAAAUUAGGAAACUUUAAAUAUUAUUUCUACUUCCAAAUUACAUGUGUUCAGCAUCAAAUUUAAGGUGCAAUCUCUGGGAUCCUGUUUGUUUGUUUGUUUUUAAAGAUUUUAUUUGAGAGAGAGAGUGAGAGCAUGAGAGGGGGAAGGUCAGAGGGAGAAGUAGACUCCUCACAGAGCUGGGAGCCCGAUAUGGGACCCAAUCUGGGACUCCGGGAUCAUGACCUGAGCCGAAGGCAGUGGCUUAACCAACUGAGCCACUCAGGUGCCCCUGGGAUCCUGUGUUUGUAUUUGUCAAAUAGGAAAUAAAGUUUGAUAAUACCUUG